GCUUGCGCCACAUUAGUUUGUUGGUGGGGUAAUGGCCUACCAAGACGAUGAUGUGUAGCUGGACUGAGAGGUCGAACAGCCACAUUGGGACUGAGACACGGCCCAAACUCCUACGGGAGGCAGCAGUAGGGAAUUUUCGGCAAUGGAGGAAACUCUGACCGAGCAACGCCGCGUGAACGAUGAAGUAUUUCGGUAUGUAAAGUUCUUUUAUUGAAGAAGAAAAAAUAGUGGAAAAACUAUCUUGACGUUAUUCAAUGAAUAAGCCCCGGCUAACUAUGUGCCAGCAGCCGCGGUAAGACAUAGGGGGCGAGCGUUAUCCGGAAUUAUUGGGCGUAAAGGGUGCGUAGGCGGUUAGGAAAGUCUAUAAUUUAAUUUCAGUGCUUAACGCUGUCUUGUUAUAGAAACUACCUUGACUAGAGUUAGAUAGAGGCAAGCGGAAUUCCAUGUGUAGCGGUAAAAUGUGUAAAUAUAUGGAGGAACACCAGAAGCGUAGGCGGCUUGCUGGGUCUUGACUGACGCUGAGGCACGAAAGCGUGGGUAGCAAACAGGAUUAGAUACCCUGGUAGUCCACGCCGUAAACGAUGAGUACUAAGUGUCGGGAUAAAACUCGGUACUGAAGUUAACACAUUAAGUACUCCGCCUGAGUAGUACGUACGCAAGUAUGAAACUUAAAGGAAUUGACGGGACUCCGCACAAGCGGUGGAUCAUGUUGUUUAAUUCGAAGAUACACGAAAAAUCUUACCAGGUCUUGACAUGCUCUGCAAAGCUAUAGAAAUAUAGUGGAGGUUAUCAGGGACACAGGUGGUGCAUGGUUGUCGUCAGUUCGUGUCGUGAGAUGUUAGGUUAAGUCCUAAAACGAGCGCAACCCUUGUCGUUAGUUACCAGCACGUAAUGGUGGGCACUUUAACGAGACUGCCAAUUAAACAUUGGAGGAAGGUGAGGAUUACGUCAAAUCAUCAUGCCCCUUAUGAUCUGGGCUACAAACGUGAUACAAUGGCUGUUACAAAGAGUAGCUGAAACGCGAGUUUUUAGCCAAUCUCAAAAAAGCAGUCUCAGUUCGGAUUGAAAUCUGGAACUCGACUUCAUGAAGUUGGAAU
rnacentral:rRNA from 1 species